AGGAAAGCAAGGUAAAGUCCAACAGGACCACAGUGGUCCUUUUUUAACCCAAUACCCUUAUUUCACAGAGAAAUCAAAGGCUCAGAGAGGUGAAACCACCCAAUGACAUGUGGCAUGUUACACAGUCUCACAAAUACGCAAGCAUCUUGAAUUUGGGAGCCCAAGGAGACCUUCAAAAAAUCUCAAGGUCAAUCCAUGUCUGGAAAGGGCAGUCUGGCCAAGAACACAUUCUGGUCAUGACCGCUAUGGCGCUGGCUUCGGCCUGCUACAUCGUUCCAUGGCACAUACAGAAAAACUCCCAACUACUGACCCAACAGGUCCUCAUCCCAGCUGCACCAGCUGCCUGCUUCCCCUGUACUUGGAAAUCAUCAGCUACCCAGUGAAGAUACAAGAGGCUAACUUGGAGAGGGUGGACCAGACCUGGUGGCUCAGGGAGACAGGGGAGACUGUCAUUUCCACUGGGGAAAUAACAAGGUUUCCCGUCUCACCCUGAAAGCACUUCAAUUUGCAGCCCCUGAGACAGUUAAAAACCUGAAAUGCUGAAGCCAGGAAUGUGUCACCUCAGCAGUCCAAGAACUUCUGUGCAGUGGGGAGGCCACCUCAGGUCCUACCCAACUUGGAACCAAAAAUUCCUGUGAAAUUUUCGUGAUGACCAAGGAAACUAUUCUCACAUUUACAACACAGGCAGCUGUGGGGCCAGGGUUGGGGUGAGGGGGACAAGGCAAGCCACAGUUCAGCCCAGAAGGGAGAGGCCUCCCUAGGGCAGCAGCCACCAUUUUGAAGAAAGCUUACAGUGACAUAGUGUAAAGACAGUCACGGCAGGGGCGGAGAACUUCAGGAAAGUAGUUGAGGUGUU